AUGGCCCCAUUUCCCAUCCUGUGGGGCUGGGUUCUCAUGGCUGCAGUGAGCACAGACGCCGACACAAGCUUGGUGGAGCAAAGCCCCAGGUGGGUCCUGGUACCUCGCGGACAGGCUGAAACCCUGCGCUGCAUCCUGAAGGAUUCCCAGUACCCCUGGAUGAGCUGGUACCAACAGGAUCUCCAGGGGCAGCUACAGGUGCUGGCCAGUCUGCGGAGUUCCGGGGAUGAGGAGGCCAUAUCCCUUCCUGGAGCAGAUUACCGGGCCACGCGGGUCGGUGACAGAGAGCUGAGCCUACACGUGGCCAACGUGACCCAGGGCAGAACCCUAUUCUGCACCUGCAGUGUGGUGGCGAACACCUGCCCGACUCUAGAGGACAAGGACAGGGCUGAGGAGGAGGUCGAGAGCCUGGCCCAGAGCCCUGGGGGCCUUUGGAUACCUGUAUUCUCUCAUUUCUCCAGGAAGGGUGCCUCUGUUUGA